rnacentral:tRNA from 5 species
GCGGGUGUAGUUUAGUGGUAAAACAGAAGCUUCCCAAGCUUCCGUCGCGAGUUCGAUUCUCGUCACCCGCUUCA